CUGUCUCCUGCCUCGCUCAGCUCCGCCUUCCUCUGGCAGAGUUUCGAGCUGGAUGCGCGCGGGUCCGCAAGGGCCACCGUGUACGAGACCAGAACGAACCCAGCGACCUUUGAGUGCGUACCCUCUCGAUCCAUGUGGAGGAUUGCGCAAUUUGUCGUCUGGGACAGAC
rfam:Pseudogymnoascus pannorum VKM F-4518 (FW-2643) contig_68, whole genome shotgun sequence.